rnacentral:tRNA from 1 species
GCCGCCGUAGCUCAGUCCGGCCAGAGCAGCCGCCUUGUAAGCGGCUGGUCGUGGGUUCGAAUCCCACCGGCGGCU